rnacentral:rRNA from 1 species
GACGAACGCUGGCGGCGUGCCUAAUACAUGCAAGUCGAGCGAAGUUUUUCUGGUGCUUGCACUAGAAAAACUUAGCGGCGAACGGGUGAGUAACACGUAAAGAACCUGCCUCAUAGACGGGGACAACUAUUGGAAACGAUAGCUAAUACCGGAUAACAGCAUAAAUCGCAUGAUAUAUGUUUAAAAGUUGGUUUCGGCUAACACUAUGAGAUGGCUUUGCGGUGCAUUAGCUAGUUGGUGGGGUAAAGGCCUACCAAGGCGACGAUGCAUAGCCGACCUGAGAGGGUGAUCGGCCACACUGGGACUGAGACACGGCCCAGACUCCUACGGGAGGCAGCAGUAGGGAAUCUUCCGCAAUGGGCGAAAGCCUGACGGAGCAACGCCGCGUGAGUGAAGAAGGAUUUCGGUUCGUAAAGCUCUGUUGUUAGGGAAGAAUGAUUGUGUAGUAACUAUACACAGUAG